rnacentral:rRNA from 1 species
GCUCCAAUAGCGUAUACUAAAGUUGUUGCAGUUAAAAAGCUCGUAGUUGGAUUUCUGGUCGAGGCAGCCGGUCGGCACCAAGUGUGUUUGUACCAGGCGCCUCGUCCAUUUUUGUAGAAGCUGUGUCUGUCAUUCAGUUGUCGGGCAUAGGGUCUGCAUCAUUUACUGUGAGCAAAAUAGAGUGUUCAAAGCAGGCUUAG